GUCACUUAAUUAGUGACCUGCAUGAACGGAGCUAUGAGGUUCUCACUGUCCCAAACUGUCUCUCAGCGAACCAACUGUAGUGGGAACGGUCACUAGAUAUCCAGCGGGGAAAGAAGACCCUGUAGAGCUUCACUUUGGUCUAGUCUUGUAUAGUUCCUGCGGGGGUGUAGACUAGGUGGGAGAGCAAUCGAUUCUGAAAAACCACUACCCUGUUUGGAAUUAUGCUUACCUAUCACAAGGAAUAGGACUAGAUAGAAAGUUUGGCUGGGGCGGCACACCUUCGAAAGAGCAGCGAAGGUGUCCUAAGUUGAGCUCAGUGAGGACAGAAAUCUCACGUUGAGGAUAAGGCCAAAAGCUCAAUUUACUGUGCCUUUUUGUACUAGGAUCAGUUACGAAAGUAAGGCCUAACGAUCCCUAAAUAGCCUCAGGUGCGUGAGGAUUGGGGUGACAGACAAGUUACCUCCGGGACAACUGGCUUGUGGCUGCUAAGAGAUCAAAUCAACGCAGCUUUUUGAUUCUUCGAUGUCGGCUCUUCCUAUCCUAGUGAUGUACAAGUUGCUAAGGGUCGGAUUGUUCACCCGUAUUAGGGAUCGUGAGCUGGGUUUAGACCGUCGUGAGCCAGGUUUGUUUUAUCCUACUGGAUAUAGCAUCAUGAUAGUAGAUUGAUUUAGUACGAGAGGAACUGUUGAUUAUGGCCUCUGGUUAGCGAUUAUCGGAAACGGUAUGUCGCGCAGCUACGCCGUCUGGGAUAAUGGCUGAAAGCCUCUUAAGCCAGAAGCCCAUCUAGAAAGUGAUGCACGUGAUGUGGACCGAUACGAAUAAUCAUACUCAAA
rnacentral:ncRNA from 1 species